rnacentral:rRNA from 1 species
UACGGAGGGUGCGAGCGUUGUCCGGAAUCACUGGGCGUAAAGGGCGCGUAGGUGGCUACUCAAGCGCGCGGUGAAAGCCCGGGGCUCAACCCCGGGUCGGCCGUGCGGACUGGGAGGCUCGAGCACUGUAGGGGCGGGUGGAAUUCCUGGUGUAGCGGUGAAAUGCGCAGAUAUCAGGAAGAACACCCGUGGCUAAGGCGGUUCUCUAGUACGGUACUGACGCUGAGACGCGAAAGCGUGGGGAGCGAACAGG